rnacentral:rRNA from 1 species
GAUUACCCGCUGAACUUAAGCAUAUCA